UAAAAUAUUACUAUUCUAGCUUAGACUAUAUCUUAAAAGUUUAAAACUUCCAUUUACAUUUAGUCGUUGAACUGUAUGCUUUAAAAGCAAUUGGCUGCUGAUUAUCUAAAAUCUAAUUUUAUCACUACAUAAUAUAGUAUUUAGAUUAUCAAGAUAUCCCAGCAAUUUGUAAAUGUCGCCAGAAUAUUUCUGACUAAUAGCUAUUGCUAUUCUUGGACACAUAGAUUAAUGUCCACAG
rnacentral:ncRNA from 1 species